rnacentral:rRNA from 1 species
CGCCAGAGAACUACGAGCAGAAAACUUAAAACUCCAAGGACUUGGCGGUGCCCCAUACCAACCUAGAGGAGCCUGUCCUAUAAUCGAUAUUCCACGCUUAACCUUACCCCCCCUUGAAACUCAGCCUAUAUACCGCCGUCGACAGCCUACCUUAUGAAAGUAAUUAAGUUGGCACAAUAGUUAAUAACUAACACGUCAGGUCAAGGUGUAGCACACGGGGAGGCAGAGAUGGGCUACAUUUCCUACUAUAGGAAACACGCACAGUGCAAUGAAACACACACUUUCAGGCGGAUUUAGCAGUAAGACAAACAAGAACCUCUGUCUAAAACCUGCUCUGGGGCGCGCACACACCGCC